CCUACGGGUGGCAGCAGUGGGGAAUAUUGGACAAUGGGGGCAACCCUGAUCCAGCCAUGCCGCGUGUGUGAAGAAGGCCCUCGGGUUGUAAAGCACUUUCAGUGAGGAAGAACGCCUGGUGGUUAAUACCCAUCAGGAAAGACAUCACUCACAGAAGAAGCACCGGCUAACUCCGUGCCAGCAGCCGCGGUAAUACGGAGGGUGCGAGCGUUAAUCGGAAUUACUGGGCGUAAAGCGCGCGUAGGUGGCUUGAUAAGCCGGUUGUGAAAGCCCCGGGCUCAACCUGGGAACGGCAUCCAGAACUGUCAAGCUAGAGUGCAGGAGAGGAAGGUAGAAUUCCCGGUGUAGCGGUGAAAUGCGUAGAGAUCGGGAGGAAUACCAGUGGCGAAGGCGGCCUUCUGGACUGACACUGACACUGAGGUGCGAAAGCGUGGGUAGCAAACAGGAUUAGAUACCCCAGUAGUC
rnacentral:rRNA from 1 species